GGUGUUUAAGGGUUCUGAUGAACCAGACUUGUGCGUUGUUCAGACAAUGAUUCAUUUAGUUUCUCGUACAAAAGAUGUCAGGAAAACAUCUAGUUUUCGCUUAUUUUCUCUCAACUUUUCGUUAAGUUUUUACAUUAUCUAGAUGGCUGAAGACAGUUUUUCUUUAGCAGGCAUUGAUAAAUAUUCUAAAGCUCACUUAUUA
rnacentral:lncRNA from 1 species